rnacentral:rRNA from 1 species
GACGAACGCUGGCGGCGUGCCUAAUACAUGCAAGUCGAGCGAAGCGGCGGAUGGGUGAGUAACGCGUGGGUAACCUGCCCUUAAGGCAGGGCUACCAUUUGGAAACAGAUGCUAAUACCGGAUACUAAAGGAUGGACCGGGUAUGAAUUAGCUAGUGGGUAAGGUACCGGCUUACCAAGGCGAUGAUGCAUAGCCGAGUUGAGAGACGGAUCGGCCACAUUGGGACUGAGACACGGCCCAAACUCCUACGGGAGGCAGCAGUAGGGAAUCUUCGACAAUGGACGAAAGUCUGACGGAGCAACGCCGCGUGAGUGAAGAAGGUUUUCGGAUCGUAAAGCUCUGUUGUUGGUGAAGCGGUAAUCAACCAGAAAGUCACGGCUAACUACGUGCCAGCCGCCGCGGUAAUAC